CCCUUAGAUGUUCUGGGCUGCACGCGCGCUACACUGAUGCGUUCAUCGAGUUUAUAACCUUGCUCGGUAGAGUUGGGUAAUCUUUUGAACACGCAUCGUGAUGGGGAUAGAUUAUUGCAAUUAUUAAUCUUCAACGAGGAAUGCCUAGUAGGCGCAAGUCAUCAGCUUGCGUCGAUUACGUCCCUGCCCUUUGUACACACCGCCCGUCGCUCCUACCGAUUGGGUGUGCUGGUGAAAUGUUCGGAUCGGCCGUUUGUCGCGGUUUCCGCGUCAUGUGGCUGAGAAGUUCAUUAAACCCUCCCACCUAGAGGAAGGAGAAGUCGUAACA
rnacentral:rRNA from 1 species